CCUACGGGAGGCAGCAGUGGGGAAUUUUGGACAAUGGGCGCAAGCCUGAUCCAGCCAUGCCGCGUGCAGGAUGAAGGCCUUCGGGUUGUAAACUGCUUUUGUACGGAACGAAAAGACUCUGGUUAAUACCUGGGGUCCAUGACGGUACCGUAAGAAUAAGCACCGGCUAACUACGUGCCAGCAGCCGCGGUAAUACGUAGGGCGCGAGCGUUAAUCGGAAUUACUGGGCGUAAAGCGUGCGCAGGCGGUUAUAUAAGACAGAUGUGAAAUCCCCGGGCUCAACCUGGGAACUGCAUUUGUGACUGUAUAGCUAGAGUACGGCAGAGGGGGAUGGAAUUCCGCGUGUAGCAGUGAAAUGCGUAGAUAUGCGGAGGAACACCGAUGGCGAAGGCAAUCCCCUGGGCCUGUACUGACGCUCAUGCACGAAAGCGUGGGGAGCAAACAGGAUUAGAUACCCUGGUAGUCCACGCCCUAAACGAUGUACACUGGUUGUUGGUCUUCACUGACUCAGUAACGAAGCUAACGCGUGAGUUGACCGCGUGGGGAGGUACGGCCGCGAGUAGAACGUACGAAGAGUAGUAGCGAGAGAGACGACGACGGACGACGACGACGGAGGGAGGAG
rnacentral:rRNA from 1 species